AGAAGUCAGUCACCAGCAGCAGAUGUCACACAGUUAUAAAAUGGGAAACUUGAAGAAUAAGCUCCAGAAGUCAGUCACCAGCAGCAAAUGUCACACAGUUAUAAAAUGGGAAACUUGAAGAAUAAGCUCCAGAAGUCAGUCACCAGCAGCAGAUGUCACACAGUUAUAAAAUGGGAAACUUGAAGAAUAAGGUACUAGUGGUUUGGAUACAUGUGUGGGAAAUUCAACUUCCACUUAAAAUGCAGGUACAUUUGAAGUGUGUAAU